rnacentral:piRNA from 1 species
UGGGGAGAGGUCUGGAAGAGGACCAU